rnacentral:lncRNA from 1 species
GUCUAAGAAUAUAACUUAAGGUGGUAUGGGUGUCUUCCUCCAUCUUGGAUUGUAAAAAACAGAGAACCAAAGGUCCAGAUUUUCUAUCAAGUCAGCAAAAUUUGAUGCAGGAAUGCAGAUAUUUAAUGUGAAUUUUCAUUUAAAAGAAUCAAUUUAUAAGAAUAUAACUUAUAAAUAUUGAUAUUUUUGCAAAUGAUGAUUAUUUUUGGUUGUUCUUAAAAAUAAAUUAAAUUGGCAUUUUAAGGGGAGGUAACUCUAAAACAGUGCAUUUUCUGAAGGAUUCUACAUGGAAUUUUCCUAUUUUGUAUUUUAGCCGGAAAAAACGUACGGUGAUCCUAUCUUUUCUUUUGAUAUUCUCAAAGCAUUGUCUGAAAGCUAUUUUUUCCUUAAGUAUUUAACAAUUCUAUCAUUUUGUUUAGUUUCUAAUCACAAAAUUGUGUUUUUUCCUGUAUAAUCCAUACAAAAUGUGUCAUUUUGUCACGCCCUGUAGCUUGAGAAAAUGCGCGGUGACCUAUCAUUUUUAUAACAUUUUUCAACAUAUAUCAAUAGAUACUACGUUUUGGCAAAGUAUGAACAAAUUCUAUCAUUUUUAUUUUAGACUCCCAUACCACCUUAAACAC